UGAAUUUAUUUCUGGGCUCUCUAUUCUGUUCCAUUGAUCUAUGUGUCUGUUUUUGUACCAGUACCAUACUGUUUUGGUUACCACAGCUUUUUAGUAUAGUCUGACAUCAAGAAGAGUGAUACCUUCAGCUCUGUUCUUCAGGUUUGUUCCUUCUUGAUGCUUCAAGAGAGAAUCUGUUCCAUCCCUCUCUCCUAGAUUGUGGUGGCUUGUGGCAGUCCUUGACAUUUUGACAUGUAACUAUAAUCUCUGCCUCCAUCUCCUCCUCUGUGUUCUGUGUGUCUUGACUUUAGGGACUGCUUUAAACCCAGGAGGGUCUCAAGGAUCUCUAAGGAUUCACGAUCCUUAAUUAUGUCUGCAAAGACCGUAUUUCCAGAUAAAUUCACAUUCAUAUACAUCUUUUAGGAUAACACUAUCCAACUCACUACAUACGCCCUAGAACUGUUAGAGGAAUUGUUUCUACCAUGUUGCACUUGGUUUUUAUUCCCUAAGCUUUUGUAGAAGAGUGCCGUAUUUCAUAGGUUACCUGUUAUUUUUCUGUUUGCACCUCCAUUCUGAUUUUUACUUUUCUUAAGACUAAUUAUUCAGAAUUUCUCAUCUUGCAUUUAUCUGUAUAUCUCAAUUCCUUUGUGAAAUAUAUGUUAAGCAAAUAAACAUUGGAACUGAAAAGCAUCUGUCAGAUUUGGGGGUAUGCCUUUACCAAAGGAACUCCAAAACAUAGUAAGCCAAGAAGAAGCCAGAUUGCAGUGCAUUGAGGAGAAAAUGAACAGCUGGGAAGAAAAGAAAAUGUUUGUCUCUUUGUAGACCCUUGGCUCUGAAAAUGUGACAGGACAGUGGACUCUGGCUGAAGUCCAGUUGCCAUUGACAGGAAGGUGCUGAGAGGGAAGGGGAUGUUGGAGAGCAGAAGAAAACUCAAUUGAUGUCACUCAAGGAGGAGAGAAGGAAUGGAUCCAGAGGGAUGCCCAAAAGGAGUUGAGGGCAGUGUGCACACAGACCAGAACCAAGCUGAACAUCUAUGGGAUGUAUUGUGCCAAAUGCCGAUGCCGCUAGAGAUGCAGACUUGGACUUGAUGCCAAGAAGCCCUUCCUGACUGGAGUUGUCAACAGUGGGACAGACCACAUGGGAUGCAGUGGGCUCGUGGUCCCUGGAGGUGAGCAACCGGGAGAGAUUCAAACAUCUCCUGAGCGUGGAACUGGGCCCUGGGAGGAAGCCCCUGCGGAGGGUCUAUGAAUUCUGAUAACCCUCGGUACUAGAAAUUAUGCUCAGAAAAGUCCC
ensembl:lncRNA